GACGUCGGUCACGUUAUGGAUUGCUGUGGCCAGGAAGUGCCUGUACUUCAAGCUCCUCCCUGUAUACUGUACACUGAGAGCAGGCGGGCUGCCUGGAGCUGACACCAGCUGCAGCUGGUCAUUGGGUGAGAGAGCUGAGGCAGGGUUGCCUCAGGUGGAUCGGGCACAGCAGCGAUGGAGCCCAGCCGUGACCGGGGGAGGAGCAGAGAAGCCUUCACAGGAAAAAGGCCGGCCUUAAUCUCCAGUCACUGAGAGGACCACAGAUAGCUUAUAUAGCUGUGGGCUUGGCAUGCUUUCUGGGUGUAUUGGCCUUCAUCAUUUACACCUGUUGUAAGAAAUGCAGGUCAAAGGCUGACCCAGAGGAAGACAUCGAAGCCAACUUUGUCACAGACCCAGAUAAUGAAGAACUAAAGCGUCUGGUAAUAGAGAUGACACCAGUCUAUGGGAUACAGAGCAUUCUUAAAAAAAAAGAAGAGGAUAACAACAACGCUAAAUUUAAAUCCCAAAAGAAGGUUCAUUUUAAGGAUUAUCUUGAAUCCAUCAAGAAGGCAGAAAAAGACGCAAAAGCCAAAAAAAUUAGAAAAAUAAAAUAUAAACAAGCAGGCAAAUAAGAACUUUGAGAAAAUUAUACAACCGGGGGCAUGGCUUGGACACCAUCUGGGAGGAAGCAGGCAGGUUAGCUGCUCCUGAGGCGUACCCGGACGCUUGCCAUGCCCGGACUCAAGGACCAGCCGCAGGACACACUGAGACUGUGUUGCAACAAGGCAUCGGACCUGCUUGCCUGCCGAGCUGCCGGACACCUUCUCGGUUGUGGGUGCCCAAUACAACGGUCAAUGCAGAGGACCAUGACCAGCAACGCCCCCCCAUGUGCUCCAGAGAGGGCCUGGAGGUGGUAGUAUUGUGAGACCGGAGCUGGACAUUGGACCAGGGCCUAAGGCAGUGGCAGAGAGCAAAGCUGAUCUGAAGGAGGGAGUCACCAUACAGGCCAGUCUACAAGAAGAAGUGGAGGCCAGACGGGGAGAGAAUCACCUUCCUGCUGCCCACUAACUUCAGGCAGUCAGUGAACUUUACCCCACUGUGAAUCAAUAACAUACAAGUACUGUACUGUGAAUAUGCAGGCCGUUCUUCACUGCAUAUUUAUAACAUGUACAUACUGUGACUCCACAAUGAUUUCUGAAAUAAAGGGUCACGUAAAUAUA